rnacentral:lncRNA from 1 species
AAUCUCUCUCAUUGCAGGCUGAAGAGGACUGGCCUUUCAGUGGCCCUCGUGGAACGGUAGGAAGCUGAGCUGGACUCUCUGCCACAUCGUUCGGUUCCCACAACAGCCUGAUGAAGCAGCAGCAGAAAAAAUGGAAGCCAUUUUGGUUAACGGGUCACAUCUUAGCAGUUGGCAGCGUAAGAAGCGGAAGGAUCCACUGGUCAGAAAUGGAGAUUGAGGAGAAGCUGAGAGCACGGAGGGCUUCAGGGGAGAGCCUGUCCUUUGGAAAAGCGGGCAAUUUGCACUCGUGGUAGAUGAGUGGGGAGGCCGCUCAGUCUCUCUGCCCCUUUGCACAUGCUGCACCCGUUUAGUUUGACGUCGUGGAGAGCUCCUCCAGGCACGGGCUGUGUGAAAGGGUUUAAAAGUUUGGGGGCAUGGCUGGGGGUCCCCGCAUGAGGGGUGCUGUGUAGGCUCCCAUCUUUUCUGCCGGUCAUGCUGGGAGCCAACAGCACCGGCUCCUGACGUGGGGACUUGCCCUGUGCCAUGACGUGGGGACUCGCCCUGUGCCCUGCGCCCCGGUUCCUGCUGGUUCUGUGCCUUCUGGACUCAUUUCCUUUCCAGGGUCCGCAACCGCUUCCGACACAAUCACUAUUUUGGCUGCGGCCACGGCUUCAUUCGCUUCAGCUGCGAGCUUUUCUCAGCGCAGAGAGCACAGGGAAGCUGGGAGGAGUCCGCCUAGAUGGUCGUUUUCAGUGAGAGGAUUGGCAUGAAGAAUCCUUGGGACACAGGAAUCAAUCAAGACCUUUGGAUGCCCCUGCCUGCUCUGUCUCUAGAAGCCUCAAGCCCAGCAUCCCCAUGCCGACGUGCUCAUCUCUAGCAAAACACCAGCCUCUCAGCCCUCUCUCCAUAAAGGCCACUAGAAAGUACUGUGAUGCCAGGCUGCUCCACAUCCAGGCAGCCUGGGUGACCACUGCCCUUUAUGAGAAUCAGAAAAAGCUGUCUCCCGAGUAGUUGGAAUUACAGGUGCAUGCCACCAUGCCUGGCUAAUUUUUGUAUUUUUAGUAGAGAUGGAGUUUCACUAUGUUGGCCAGGCUGCUCUUGAACUCCUGACCUCAAAUGAUCCACCCGACUCGGCCUCCCAAAGAGCUGGAAUUACAGGAGAAGCUAAACGUUUUAAAAUAAGUAUAUUAUUUCUGAAUUACUAUAACAGACAUGGACUCCAUUUGAACAAGAUACUUAAUUCCAUCAAAAACUUGUCAAAAUAUACAAAUUUAGUCACAAGACACUUUACUACCAUCUACCAAAGCUGUAGUAAACACACACAUUUUCCAUCUUUGAAAUGAAAUAACGUAUAAUAAUGUUUUCCAAAAUAACAAAGAUGUCUGCAGUGAAUAGCACUCCCUUUGAUGUGGCAACUGGGUCAAUCGUGUUAACAACUGUGAAUUCAUCUUUUUAAGAAAUUCUUUUAUUGUUUCUUUUCUUUUCCGCGACAGUCUCACUCGUGUUGCCCCGGCUGGAGUGCAGUGGCGCUAUCUUGGCUCACUGCAGCCUCCGCCUCCCGGGUUCAAGCAAUUCUCAUGC